GACGGAGGAGGCAAGCGUUAUCCGGAAUUAUUGGGCGUAAAGCGUCCGCAGGUGGCCCAUCAAGUCUGCUGUUAAAGCCCAGGGCUCAACCCUGGAGAAGCAGUGGAAACUGCUGGGCUAGAGUGCGGUAGGGGCAGAGGGAAUUCCCGGUGUAGCGGUGAAAUGCGUAGAGAUCGGGAAGAACACCAGUGGCGAAAGCGCUCUGCUGGACCGCAACUGACACUCAUGGACGAAAGCUAGGGGAGCGAAUGGGAUUAGAUACCCCAGUAGUCCUAGCCGUAAACGAUGGACACUAGGUGUUGCGCGUAUCGACCCGUGCAGUGCCGUAGCCAACGCGUUAAGUGUCCCGCCUGGGGAGU
rnacentral:rRNA from 1 species